GAGGCAAGGGGCUCACGUUGACCUCUCUCAGCGUGGGAGGGGCCGGUGUGAGGCUAGGGGCUCCCGCGGACCUCUGUCAGCCUGGGAGGGGCCGGUGUGAGGCUAGGAGCUGAGGCUGACCUGUCAGCGUGGGAGGGGCCGGUGUGAGGCAAGGGGCUCAGGCUGACCUCUGUCAGCGUGGGAGGGGCCGGUGUAAGGCAAGGGCUCACGCUGACCUCUCUCAGCGUGGGAGGGGCCGGUGUGAGGCAAGGGCUCACGCUGACCUCUCUCAGCGUGGGAGAGGGCCGGUGUGAGGCAAGGGCUCACGCUGACCUCUCUCAGUGUGGGAGGGGCCGGUGUGAGGCAAGGGGCUCAUGCUGACCUCUCAGCGUGGGAGGGGCCGGUGUGAGGCAAGGGCUCACGCUGACCUGUCUCAGCGUGGGAGGAGCCAGUGAGAGGCAGGGGCUCAUGUCUCUGGGCAGGGUGCCAGAGGCAUGAGUUGGGCAUCAACAGGCCACUGUGAGAAGGAGCUGGGCCGCAUGCGGGCUGCUGGGAGGCAGGCAGGGACUUGGCCCCGGGAGGCCGCCGUGGGGGCAAGAGCUGGGCCUGGAGAGGCCCCUGGGAGGCAAGAGUGGGGCCUGCAGAGGCUGUUCUCCAACCAGUGCUGGGCCUGUACAGGCCACCGGGAGGCAGGAAGUAGGCCCGAAGAGCUUGGCUGGAGAAAGUUCGGGGCCUAGAAAGGCGGUUGGGAGCUCGGCAGUAGUUGAGCCAAAAGAGCUUGCUUACUUGCUGGGAGGCAGGGCCGGGAGAGGCCGACUUCAGGACAACUUGGGCCUGCAGAGGUCGCCAAGAGGCCCAAGCUUGGCGUGGAGGAGCCCACCGACUGGAGACCAUUUGGGGCCUGCAGAUGCCAUUGGAGGGCAGGAGCUGAGCUUGGAGAGGCCACCGUGAGGCCUGACCUGGGCCUGGGGAGCUUGGCUUCGGGAAGUUGUGGGUCUACCAGGGCCGCUGGGAGCUGGGCAGGAACUGGGCCAAAAAAGGCUGUUGUGAGGCAGCAGUUGUGCCUGUAGACCCAGCCAAGAGGAAGAGGUGGGCCUGGAGAAGCCCCCAUAAGGCAGAGGUUGGGCCUGUAGACGCUGACAGGAGGCAGGAGCUGGGCCUGUAGAGGUCAACUUGAGGAGAUUUUGGGCCUUCAUAAUCCACCAGGAGGCAGCAGUUGGGACUAGAGAGUCUGACUUUAAGUUUUGGGCCCGGAGAUGACGUCCUGGGACAGGAGUUGAGCCUGGAGAGGCCACCGUGAGGCAUGAGCUGGAUGUAGAGAGGCCAGUGUGAGGCAAGACCUGGGCCUGUCUAGGCUGCUGGGAGACAGGCAGGAAUCUGGCCAGGGAAGGUUGCCAUGAGACAAAAAUUGGGCCUGGAAAGACCCUUGUGAAGCAUGAGCUUGGCCUAAAGAGGCCACUGGGUGGCAGGAGCUGGGUGUGUAGAAGCUGCUGAAAGGUUGGGAGCUUGGCUUGGGGGGUCCACAGUGAGGCAGAUGCUGGGCCUGAAGAAUCUGCUGUGAGGCAGAUGUUGGGACUGUAGAGGCCGACGGGAGGCAGAGGCUGUGCCUGGAGGGGUCACCAAGAUGCAGGAGCUGGGCCUGGAGAGGCUGCAAAGAAGCAUGAGCUGGGCCUGGUGAGGUCGACUUGAGAAAGUUCAGGGCCUGGAGAGAAGGCUGGGAGGCAGGAGCUGGGUCUAAAGAGGCCAUUGUAACGACGGAGCUGUGCCUGUGGAGGCUGUUGUGAGGCAGUAGGCUCAUCUGCGGAGACUGCCGUGAGGUAGGGUAUGGGCCUAAAUAGGCCAUUGUGAGUCAUGAGCUUGGUCUGUAGAGGCUGACUGGAGAAAGUU
rnacentral:lncRNA from 1 species